GAUGAACGCUGGCGGCGUGCCUAAUACAUGCAAGUCGAGCGAACAGACGAGGAGCUUGCUCCUCUGACGUUAGCGGCGGACGGGUGAGUAACACGUGGAUAACCUACCUAUAAGACUGGGAUAACUUCGGGAAACCGGAGCUAAUACCGGAUAAUAUAUUGAACCGCAUGGUUCAAUAGUGAAAGACGGUUUUGCUGUCACUUAUAGAUGGAUCCGCGCCGCAUUAGCUAGUUGGUAAGGUAACGGCUUACCAAGGCAACGAUGCGUAGCCGACCUGAGAGGGUGAUCGGCCACACUGGAACUGAGACACGGUCCAGACUCCUACGGGAGGCAGCAGUAGGGAAUCUUCCGCAAUGGGCGAAAGCCUGACGGAGCAACGCCGCGUGAGUGAUGAAGGUCUUCGGAUCGUAAAACUCUGUUAUUGGGGAAGAAAAAAUGUGUAAGUAACUAUGCACGUCUUGACGGUACCUAAUCAGAAAGCCACGGCUAACUACGUG
rnacentral:rRNA from 1 species